rnacentral:lncRNA from 1 species
UGAUUGCAGGUCUCGAACUAGCCAAAAGCUUGGGGGUAGAGGUGAUCGAAGCCAAGUGCGACUCCCUCCUUAUUGUAAACCAAGUUAAUGGGACGUUCGAGGUCAGAUAAGAACGAAUGCAAAGGUAACUGGAUAAGUUGUAGGUAAUGUUACAUCAGUUCAAAGAAUGGACUUUGCAACAUGUACCUCGGGAUCAAAAUAGUGAGGUCGAUGCCCUCUCUAAAUUAGGGUCAUCGGUCGAGGACGACGAGUUCAACUCAGGGGUAGUUGUACAACUUAUGAGAUAAGUAGUGGAAGAAGGUCAUGCCGAGAUUAACUCAACAAGCCUAACUUGGGACUGGAGAAGUAAAUAUAUAGAAUAUCUGAAGACCGGAAAACUGCCCUCGGAUACAAAAGAAUUGAGGGCCCUACAUACAAAGGCAGCUCGUUUAGCCUGUCCGAAGAUGGAACCCUGUUCAAAAGAAUAUUCGAUGGCCCACUCGCGAUAUGUCUAGGACCAGGGGAUACCGAAUAUGUUUUGAGGAAAAUCCACGAAGGCACUUGUGGAAAUCAUUCAGGCGCCGAAUCAUUAGUUCGAAAAAUGAUCAGAGUCAGCUACUACUGGAUCGAUAUGGAAAAGGACGCGAAGGAGUUCAUACAAAAAUGUGAUGAAUGUCAAAUACAUGCUCCGAUGAUUCAUCAACCCGAGGAGCUGUUGUAUUCGGUUUUGCCACCAUUGCCGUUCAUGAAAAGGGGAAUGGACAUCGUUGGCCCCCUUCCAUGGGCACCCGGUAAGGCUCAAUUUAUAUUAUUUGUGACUGACUAUUUUUCUAAGUGGGUGGAAGCCCAAGCAUAUGAGAAGGUCAGGGAGAAAGAAGUCAUCGAUUUCAUUUGGGACCACAUCAUAUGUCGGUUCAGAAUGCCAGCCGAGAUCGUGUGCGACAACAGGAAACAAUUCAUCGGCAGCAAAGUUAGCAAGUUUCUCGAAGAUCAUAAGAUUAAAAGGAUCCUAUCAACACCCUACCACCCUAGUGGGAACGAAAAGCAGAAUUGACCAACAAAACCAUACUCCAAAACCUCAAGAAGAGGUUGACUGACGCUAAAGAAAAAUGGAAUGAAGUCCUACCCGAAAUCUUAUGGGCAUACCGUACGACCUCAAAGUCUAGUACCGAGGCCACCCUGUUCUCACUGGUUUACGGUGUCGAAGCUCUAAUACCAGCCAAAGUCGGAGAACCAAGUCUCAGGUUCCGAUAUGCAACCAAGAAAUCAAACGAUGAGGCUCUGAACACGAGCCUAGAUCUAUUAGAUGAAAGGCGCAAAGCAGACUUUGUCAGGUUGGCCGCCCAAAAACAACGAAUCAAGAGAUAUUACAAUCGAAGGACCAACCUUUGACACUUCAAUGUCGAGGACUUAGUGUUAAGGAAGGUCACACUAAACACCCGGAACCCAAACGAAGGAAAGCAUGGGCUAAACUAGGAAGGACCUUAUCAAAUUAUCAAGAUCAUCGGUAAAGGAUCGUACAAGCUCGGAACAAUGAACGGUGAACAACUACCAAACAACUUGAACAUAACUCACUUGAAUAGAUACUACUAUUAAGGUACGACCCCAUUUCUUUCCUUUUAUUUAUUUACAUUCCGAACUAAUACUUGCAGGCAAUCAUCAAAGAAUGAUACAAUCUCUAGGCCUGAAAGCACACGUUAGACUCUUUUUCCCUUGAACCGGUUUUGUCCCAGAUGGGUUUUCCGGCAAGGUUUUUAAUGAGGCAACAGUAAAUCAUGCUAACUUAAAAUUGAAGGCCGGUUAUGAACCGGUAUCAACAAUAGUAUUCGAGGCCUCUCUACGCUCGGCCCCGAACAUUGGGGGCGUCAACCUCGGAUAACGACUUUAGCAAGGAAGGAAACUUUAUGAUUGAAUGGUUUCGGCUCGAUCGAUAGGAUUUACUGUAAGGGCCAAACAGUCAAAUGAACCAUGCCCGCAUAGACUACUCGAUCCCUAGCACAAAACUUGUACACAUGUGUAACUAUUAUGCACAAGAAUAAAAAGAAGUUUCUACCUUGCGGAUAAAUAUCUUGUCCCUUAAAAAAUUCUCUUUUUUCUUUUCCUCUUAAGGAAUUUCUUACAUUCGAUCCCCUAAAGGUAUCGAGCCCAAGGGACGCCUUUAUUCGGGUUCAAACUAUCACUCCCAAUCGGGGCUGCCAUCCAAAAAAAACUCGAAUGGCUCAGGCUAUCGGAACCCGGGGGCGCGAGACCUAUUAGACAGCGCCCGAACCUUAAAGGCUACGGCCAUCCCCACUCGAAAACUGUUAUCUUGGGCAAACCCAGAUAACUCGGGAUAACAAGCUCAAUGGGCAACACCCGAACUAAAGGCUACGACCAUAUUAAAAUUGCUCGGAGACGUCCGAGACCCGUAAAAAAAAAUAAGGCCUUCAAAAUUUCAUAACUAAUUCUAAAGGAUACCUUCGGCAAACUAUAAUCUAAAAAGUCAUAUAUACUUUGGGGAGAAAGGUUUCUGGUCAUACCGAAACCCCACGAUGCCAUAAACAAAAUAAUGUCUAAGGCAAGGCCUGUUCGAACUUCUGAACAUGACCUAACUAUUUUAUGCUAAGGCAUUUUGAUCUUUGCAAACAAAAAAAGAAUAAAGCAAAGGAAAGCAAAAUUCUUAAACCCUCGAAGGGAAAAACAAGCCUUGUAUAUUAUAUACAGUCUUGAUAAAGGUCAAAUGUCCUUAACAAAAAAUACAAAAGUACACAAGUACAAAAAACUAAAAAGCAAAAAUUUCUUCACAGAGCAUUGUCCAGGCUAGUCUUCGCGGAUACAAGUACCUGGCCGCAUUCACGAAGAGGAUUUCUGGGGCGAUGGCAGAUUUUCCUUCGUGAUCGUGAGGAGCUUUUCACAAUCACGAAAAAGGAUCGCUGGGCGGAAUCAUUUUUAAAAGUCAGGACUUAGGCUUUUUUUCUUCAUUUCUCACUUUUCUUGGCCAAAUUGGAGCUUCUUGGAGGAAUAUUUUAAUCUAGCAUUUUAAGGUAAGUGAUUUCUACCCAAUGAGAGUUUAAUACAUAGUGUAUGGAUAGAUGUUAGCAUAGAAAUUGUGUGAUUUUUUUGAAAAAGCUAGGGUUUAGUAAAAAUGGGAUUUGACCACGAAAUUGAGUAUGAAAUAAGGUAUAAAUUAUAUAUUUGAGUUCGUACGGUCAUGGGUAACAUUUAUCUACAAAUAUUUCCGGGAUCCCGGCACGUGGGCCCGAGGUGACUUUUAGGAACUUUCCGAAUUGGGUUGAAAAAUUACUCUAAUAGAUGAAUUAUGAACUUUUGAGUAUAUAUUGAUUAGUUUGUACGACUUUUGACUAGUUUCGGGUUGCUCGGCAUUAUUUUGAAGGCUAUUAUUGUGGUUUAAGGGCUGAGAAGAGGAAUUAGAAGCAAGGUAAGUCUCUUGCCUAAUCUUGUAAAAGGAAAUUAUCCCCAUAGGUGCUUUAAUUGUUAUGUGCUAUUUGUCGUGGAUGCUACGUACACACGAGGUGACGAGAGUCCGUACGUAGUUAAAAUCAUGUUUAUGUCCGGAUAGACUUAGGACUUUACCAUACAAUAUUUGUACUACUUGAGCUCAACCUGUUGGUUUAAUUACUAAAAUUUACAAUUGAAAUUUAAUUAGGGAUUAUGUUAGGCCAAGAUUCAUUUCCUUGAGUUUUUGGGAGAUACUUGAUUGUUGGUAAUAAUCAUGUUUUCUUUAUGUUCUCAUCCUUGGGUUGUAAUUUUUUGACCCGUAGUUGGAAAAGUUCAUCUAUUCCUGUAGAACGGGCCGUACGACUUCUGCAUUAUAUUUGAAAUACAUCCAUGGAUCAGAUCGUACGACUUCGGCAGUGUACAUAUUUAUUAGAGAUCGGUUUGUAUGUACGAGUUCGGCAUAAUUCGUGCGUAAUAUUGCUAGGAGUUAGAAUAUACAUGAUAUUUCCUCUUGACUUGAGAUUUUUUUAUUAUUGUUUUUAAGUAAAUAUACCACUCAGCUUGAUGCCUUGUGGUGAAUAUAUAAAUAAUAAUCCAAAAUAGGAAUCCAGUUUGUACAUAAAAAUUAAUUAAGCACAGAAAAAGGUAUAAAAAAGCAAUGUUCUAGCUAUUACAAAAGUUUUAAUUGGAUAGAUUCCAGCCAAAGGCGUAGUAUGUAUCCUGUAGCCCAUUGCAAAACCUCUAUGUAGCACCUCAAAUGCUCUCACCAGGCGCUAUGUUUUACGAACCAAAAAGGUUAGGCUAUCAUGAAUCUUCAACGUAGUCCUUGCAUAGCUUAGUCUGUCCAUUAAUCUGUUGAUGCGCGUAACCAAUUAUGAUACCUUUGUUUUUCUGUCGUGGCAUAUACCAUUUGCAUCUCAUGGCUGUUGUAUAUUCUAAAGAAAACACACCACCAUAAAAAGGUUGAACUCAUGUAUUGUUCCUUGUUGAUCACCGUCAGGAUAAUCAGCAGCCGAAGAAAAAUAAUGCUCCCUAGGCAAAUUGGUUGAACUGCAACUGAGACGGCAGUUAACAUGCUGGCCACAUUGCACUUGCAACCCUUAUUAGAACUUGUACAGAGUACCUGCAAAAUUGACAAACCAGUUAUUGCCAGAUGAGUUCUCAGUUUAUGAUUCUUGAUGUUGGCUUCAGUGAUAGGUCCUUGUGUGUAUUGGUAAAGAGUAUGUUAAGAGGUCAGCUGCUGCAAUAUUGAUCUUGGAUGUCCAGUUGUUUAGGAUAGAUAUUCCUGAAGAGUUGAAUAUGGACUGCUCCUUCUGUGGUUGAAGAAUUGUUUUGACUGAUGAUGUACAUUUCACUUAGCAUCUCUCUGGCAUUACGAGAAUUGUACCAUCAGUGAUCCUUUGAUUUCCAGUCUUGGAUAAGCUUGUUAGUGUUGUCAUAACUUGCUGCUUCUUUCUUGUGAAGAAGUAAUUGUGGUGAUUAUUGUGAAAUCUGCUCAAUUCGGAGCCUUUUUUUUGCAAUUCUAAUCCUUAGAUUAGGAGUUUGAGACUUGUCGAGGUUUAGUAGUUUCCGCCCUUCACUAGCCAUCUCUAUGAACGAGUGAAAUAUAGUUGAUCCUGCAAAAUUGAAAGCACUAUUAACUAUAUAAUCUGCCAUUGUAUUGCCUUCUCUAUAGACAUGUUAAAAUAUCACAUUAAAGUGUUCCCUCAGUUCCCUAAUCUUCUACACUUCUGCCCCUAUACACCAAGGUGUCACCCAUUGCCCUUCAAUGAUUUUUUCAAAACCAAAGAAUCUGUCUCCAAUAUCAAUGGAUGAAGGUCAUUCGUCACACAAUAUUCCAACCCUUAAAGUAUUGCUUUUGCUUUAGCUACAAUAUUAGUGGUCAUUCCUAUGUUAUCUGCCUUUGCAUACAUUAGAUCUCCUACUUCAUUUCUAACACAAAAAUCAAUUGAACUAGGCCCUGGGUUGCCCUUUGAUGCCCCAUCUGUAUUACAUUUAUACCAUCCUGCAUCUAGAGGCUGCCAAGUUACUCUUUUGGUGAGCAAUACAGGUUUUUAUGCUUCAAAGUAACGGAUCAUAUCUAGCCAUAACACAGGAAUGUGUAUUAACCAUGGAUACCUAACUCUUGCUAGGUAAUGAAUUGUCUUGUUGAUCUGAUGAAUGACUCGAAUAGUAGAGAUUGUUCCCCUAUUUUUUCUUGUAUUCUCUUUUUUUCCAUAGUUCCCAUGUAAUGACUGCUGGUGCUACUUGAAAGAGAGGUUUCAACUUUGGGCAGCAUUUUACAUUCCACCAUGCUCUAAUAACUUGCUUUAUUUAGACUAGUGGUACAAUAAUUCCAGCAGCUGCCAGAAAUGUUUUCCAUACUUUUGAUGUAGUGGAGCUUGUUAGAAAUAUGUGUUCAAGGGUCUCCUCCUGUGGAUGUUUGCAACACCAACAUCUGGAGACGUUAAUAUAUCCUUGCCUCCUCUAUAGGUUAUCAGAAGAUAACUUUUGCCUCCAUAAUCUCCACAAGAAGAAUGAUAUUUUGAAUGGCAAUCCUUUAGUCCACAUUUGUUUAUACUCUUGAUUAGGGGCUGCCCUGAGCCUCAGAAUUUGCCAAGCACUAUUAACUGUGAAUUUGCCUGAAGAUGUUGGCAUCCAGUAAGGUCUGUCCCAUAGUUCUUCAGUAUCAUCAAAAUGAACAUUUUGUAUAAUAUGGUCAGUGAUAUCUUCAGGAAAGCUUUGAUGUAUCAGUUGUUCAUUCCAUGCUCUUUCUUGCCUCAGUUGCACCAUGUCUUCCAGCUCUUCAUCUAUUGGAAAUUCUGGCGGUAGAACAUGAUAGAGUGAACCUAUUCCUAUCCAGUUUUCAUGCCAUAUGCUUGUUGUUCCACUCUUCAUCUCCCACAUGAUUUCAUGUUCUACUUCCUCCCUAGCAUUCAACAUUUGUUUCCAUACAUGGGAACCUUGUCGGAAUUGUACUGUUGUUGGCUGCUCUUUUUUGCCAUACUUGUUCCACAUGAAGUUUGACCAAAGUGAUUUUUUGUCCUAAAACUCCACCACAACUUAGCAAAUAGAGAUCUCUAAACAUCAUCUAAUGAUCUAAAUCCAAGGCCACCUUCUUCUAUAGUAAAACAUAGUUUCUGCCAACUUGCCCAAUGUCUACUAUGCCUUUCUUCCUUUGUACACCAAAAGAAUCUUGCAAAUAUUUUGUGUAAGUGUAUCAGGACAUUCUUAGGAGGGUCAAGAACAAAUAGUAUGUGUAUUGGCAUGCUUUGUAGGAUACUAGUUAUUAGUGUGGCCUUCCCUCCAUAUGAUAAGAGUUUGCCUUUCCAAGAAUGUAGUUUAGCCUUCACCUUUUUAAUAAGAUCUUCAUAGUAUCCCUUCCUUCUUCUAGUGUAGUAAAUUGGGCAUCCUAAGUAUGUGAAAGGAAAUUGGCCUCUUGUGAAGCCUGUGGUAUGACCAACAUCUUGAAAUAGCAUUUUGCAGUAUUGGCAUGCAUGAAGUAAGAGCAUUUGGCUCUGUUAAUCUGUUGUCUUGAGAUAUGUUCAUACCCUCUUAAUACUAUCAUGAUCUUGUUCAAGGAAGGUUGAUGUGCAAAUGUAAAAUUUAUGGUAUCAUCAGCGUAUGCCAAAUGGUUAAGUGGAUCAGUCCAUUUGGGCAUGCCAAAUCCCACAAAUGAUUUAUCAUCAAACAAUUUUUUCAACGAUCUUGAUAGUACUUCUGCUGCCAAAAUAAACAGUGCAGGAGAUAGUGGAUCUCCCUGCUUCACACCCCUGGUUGAUUUGAAAAAACCUGUUGAUUGCCCAUUAACCAACACUGAAUACCAGUUGUUGGCUAUUAGAUUCCAGACCAUGUUGAUAAAUUGCUCUGCAAACCCUAUUCUUCUCAGCACUUGCAUCAAAAAUAUCCAUGAGACUCUAUCAUAUGCUUUCGCCAUAUCAAGUUUAAUUACCACAUUCGCAGGUUUGCCUCGUAAUCUCAUGUCUGUUACUAUUUUUUGUGUAAGUAGUAUGUUCUCAAAGAUGCUCCUCCUUUUAACAAAACCUGAUUGAUUAGGUGAAAUGUAAGCAGGCAGUAGCUUCUCCAAUCUAUUAAGAAUGCACCUCGAUAGGACCUUGUUGAUGAAAUUACUCAAGUUGAUAGGUCUUAGGUCUGUAAAAGAUUCUGGACUAAUCUUCUUUGGCAGUAGAACUAGAUUUGUGUGAGUAAUUAACUUUGGCAAGCUUGAUCCUCCAAAGAAUUUCAGAACCAUGUUAUGUAUGUCAUGGCUGAUGACUUCCCAGCAAACUUUAUAAAACCUUCCAUUGAAUCCAUCUGGACCACUGGAGUUGUCUCCACUAAGUUCGAACACUGCUGCCUUUACUUCCUCCAAUGUUGGAUAUCUAUAUAGCUCAAUAUUCUGCUCCACGGACACCAUAGCCGGUACAUUAUCUAGCAUUGUAAAAUUAGUGGGGUCCCCUUGUUUAGUGAAAUGUUUCUGGAAAUAUUCAACAGCAGCAUUGGAGAUUUGAUCCUGAUCUUCUAACCAAUUCCCAGCUUCACCUUUUAUUCUUUUCAGCUGUAACUUCUUCCUCUUUCCUUUGACAUGGUUGUGGAAGAAGUUAGUGUUUCUAUCUCCCUCCGCAAACCAUGCCAUUCCAGCUUUUUGUUUCCAGUAGUGCUCCUCAAAACUCAGGUAUUUCUUUAGUUCUGAUUGAGUUUUCUGUAGGAUUACUCUGUUUGCAAUUGUUGGUUCCUCUUCGAACAACAUUUCUUUGACCUUUACAAUGUCCUCUACUAUUGCCAAUUGUUUGAAUAUAUCCUCAAACGUAUCUCCACUCCAUUUUGAAAGUGAUGUCUUAACAUUCUUCAGCUUAUGUUUGAAUACAAGAAAUGGGUCUCCAAUGAAAUUUGCAUUCCAGUUCUGUUUUACUGCUUCCAAGAAAGUAUCAUGAUUUGUCCAGAAGUUCAAGAACCUGAAUGGUUUGGGCAAUUUUGUGUUUUGUUUUCCAGUAUUCAUUAGUUAAAUAUUUACUUGAACUAACAGGUUGAGCUCAAGUAUUACAAAUAUUGCAUGAGAUUUGAUAUUUGAUUGUAAAUUUUAGUUGAAAAAAUUUCAGAUAGUACAUGAUAUUUGGGGAUUUUAUAUUGUCAUUAUGUUGAGGGGUCAUGUUACUUACGGUCUUUCUUAUUCCAUUAUUUUUGUUGUGCUUCAUGCCUAUUGAUAAUUCAUGUAUUUUAUUUAUUAACCAGUAGUAAGUGUCGAGGUUGAUCCCUCGUCACUACUUCUUUGAAGUUAGACUAGAUACUUACUAAGUACGCAUUGAUUUACAUACUCAUACUAUACUUUUGUACUAAUUGUGUAGGUACUGAGGCAGGUACAUCUUGUAGAUACUCGGGCGUGCAUCCCCGUUAUCCGGAGACUCAGUGGUGAGUUGUUCACCAUGCUCCGAUCUGCAGCACCCGGAGUCUCCUUCCUGUUAUAUUUUCAUUUCAGCCUAUUUCAUUUCAGACAGUAGCUAUGGUGGUUUGUAAAUUCUACUAGAUUGCUUUUGCACUUGUGACACCGGAUUUUGAAAAAAUUUUAUAGAUGUUUAUGGUUUUUGCCUAAUAUCGUCACUAUUUUAUUUUUUAUGUUUUAUUUAUGUUGUAUAUGUCCAUGGUCUUCUAUGCCUACUUUCUUUAAUUUAAUAAAACCCAUGAUUUCAGAAGCAAUAAAAUGAAUAAUUAAGUUGAUAGUUCACAUUGAUUUGCCUAACGGCGACGUUGGGCGCCAUCACGGCCGAUAGUAGGAAUUAGGUUAUGACAGCUGCCAUAUCACAAACAACUUCUAAGCAUUCUUGUGGCUAUUCUUUCAUUUAGUUCUUAACGUCAUCUAUACAACCAACUCAUAACAAGCAUAAUAACAACAACAUCAUCAUAAUCAAGUUAUUUUCUUUAAUUUCCAGUCAUAGGAAGCCUUAUACAUAGCCUCAAAACAGUCCAAUAGAAGGACAGCAACAAGAUUCUCCAUAUCAAGUUUAACUCUAAGGCAACUAGUAACAUAUCAAGCAACUAGCUCAUUUUAGGGAAAACUUGACAGCAUCUCCCCCUCUUUUCUAACUUUCCCAAGUUCAUAGUAAUAACUAGAAACAUAUAUAACCGUUAACCAUAGAUUUACAACAUCACAAUCAACUUUAACAACCCACCAAUACAAUACAAAAGUACUUCAACCGAUUUUCGAGUAUCUUCUAUAUUUUUUUAUCUAACGAACACUACCACGACCAAACAAGGUUAGGCACAAGUAGAAUGAGAAUAACUUGUCCAGCAAAGCUUUCUCCAAACAAACAAAUGACAAUAACAUGAUAGAAGCGCUCUCUGCUACCUUUACGGGGUGCUUGAUGUUAGAUUUAGGUAGUUUAUCUUAGAAAUCACCCCUAAACCUUUAAAAUCUCUUAGAGAGACUUUGGAGAGAUAUGGGGUGUGCUCUGGUCUAAACAAUGAGAGAGAUAAGGGCUUCUCCCAUUUUUAUUAUAACAAAAAGAUAAGCUUUCACCGCCUAGGUGGGUCCCAUAGGGGCUGUCUGCGCAGUCUCGCGAUAAUGUGAAUAUCUCCCUACUCAGAUAUCGUAUUGAAAAAUGAUUUACUGAGUUAAAAAUUAGACUCGUAGAUCUUCAAUUUGGUUGGUGGAUCACCUCACAAAUCCAUGUAUAUUAAGAGAAAAGCUCAGUGACAUUAGACCUAAGUUUCAGUAAAAUUAUGAACGUAUUUUGCUGCAACUUUUGUCGACUUUUGUUUUACAACUUGUUUGACUUCAAAACUUAAUAUAAGAAUAUUAUAAGACUCAAGUACCUUAAAACACGACCUUCUUAGAAUAUUAAUUACUCCUAUUUCUAUCUCAAAAGUACGGGUUAUAACAUCAUUCGUUUAGCCUCCAACCCUCACGAUACUUCUAUAACACAUGUGUUAACUCAUCAUCUCUUUGUAAAGGUCCUUAAACUCCCCGGAUUAUAUUGAUUCACUUAAGACGCAUUCUAACAUGAAAGUAUAUGGUGUAAUAUAUCAGUCCCACAGCCUAUUUAUCCAGCAUGAAUAAUACAAGAGGGGUAAAAACGAAAAUAUAUUUUUUUCUUAACUUUGUGGAGCUUGAGCACUCCCUUAUGUAUGGGAGAUGUUGGAAUAUUACUAUUGAGUUCGGUCCACCCAUAAGGGGUGCGAAUUGGCUUAUUAACCCAUUAGCUUAUUCUCCUUCUAAACCCUACUUAUACCUUAUAUACACCAUUAUGAGUAUUUGAAAAGAUAUGUUUUUUCCAUCUAUAUAUGACAAUUAGGGUUUUUAUGAGAAACUUGUCUCUGCAUUUUGGAAAGGAUUAGUAGGCUGUGGACAAAGGGUUUCAUCCGCUUUGCAAGGAUUCUCGACAACCAAUGAUACAAGUUGUGAUUAUUGCAGAUCCAUUUUCAUUAAAGAAAAACUUGUAAGUCUUCUAAACUAGUAUUACAUUGACCUGAAACCCACAUUCACACUUGUCAACAUAAAGAAUGCCUCACACAACUUUCGUUGGUUGUGUCCCACACCAAAUAAAAUUUCUUCCAACAACCUCAUACAAGGUUUCAUAUAGGAAAGAUCGAUAGAGACAGAGAAAAGGCUUCCAAAAUAGAAUAGGAACGAAAGAAAAGGAGAAAUGUUCUCUUCAAUUAACAACGCUAAAAGAUCAUACCAAUGUGUCGUAGCAUAAUCAUUCACUUGUAGAAUGGUAGGUACACUCACCUUUCUUGUAAAUGACAAAAUAAAUAAUUCUAGAGACUUACUAUAUUAUAAGUGAAGCUUGGUACGACAAAGGGCAAAGUGGUAAAUCACUCUGACUUGUAGAUUUACAGGUGUCCUAUUGUAUAUACCACAUUGCUUUAAUUUUGGUCCAUCCUUUUGGUUUAUUCUCUCCCAUCGAUGAAAGCAACUAUUUUCAGAGCUCUUCAUUCUCAUCUCUCUCUUCAUGGUAAGUUCUUCUUCUUCCUUUUUUCGAGUUGGAGGGGAAGCUGAGGGUUAUGGGGGCCUGGAGGAGUAGUGGGGACACAAGUUAUAUGUGGUCGAUGACGACGAACUAUAUUAGGGAGGUUGCGAGGGAGGUGUUAGGGGUCUUAAAGGGUUACUUUGGCGGGCACAGAGGAGAUUGAUGGUAGAAUGAAGAGGUUCAAGAAAAAGUGAAAGCAAAGAAAGUGGCAUACUUGAAUUUAGUGGAGAGUACAGACGAGGGGGAGAGAAGAGAGAACAAAGCAAGGUAUAAGAAUGCUAGGAAGGAGGCGAAGCUAGCGGUCAAUGAUGCCAAGAAUGCAGCGUUUAGUCGUUUGUAUGAAGAGUUGGGGGACAAAGGCGGGGACAAGAAGUUAUUUUGGUUUGCCAAGGCGAGAGAGAGAAAGGGUCGUGAUCUGGAUCAAGUAAGGUGCAUCAAAGACGAGGAAGGCAGAGUCUUAAUGGAUGAGGCUAUGAUUAAAAGGAUAUGGCAGACUUACUUUCAUAAACUUCUGAAUGAAAAAGGGGACAGAGACAUUGUGUUCGGUGAUUUGGAGCACUUUGAGAGUCGUCAUGUUUUUAGGUACUGUAGGCACAUUAAGGUUAAGGAGGUCGUGGGAGCUAUGCGUACGUUGAACAGGAGCAGAGCGACUGGGCCGGACGAGAUACCGGUUGAAUUUUGGAGGUAUGUCGGUAUAGAGGGCCUGAAGUGGCUGACCGAGCUGUUCAAUGUUAUUUUUAAGACGGAGAAGAAUGUUUUCUUGUUGGGAAGAGUUAGAAAUGGUUCCUCUUAGGAAUACUCAGCUGCAGAAGCCAUGGCUUUCCAUUUUCUUAAUGUUUCGUCAAUCUGAUCGUGUAGGCGAGCUUUCAGAUCUUGAAGUUUCUUAUUCUAUUGGUACUCCUCUUUAUUACAAUCAUCAACUGAAGUAGAUACACAAUUUAAUGAUGAUGCAAAAGCCAGAUUAUAUUUCGAGUCUAUAAUAUUCAUUUUUCUUUGAUAGACAGUUAUUGGUUGGGAUGAAAAUUGCAAACCACUACUUAGUCUUCAACUUCAGGUAUCUAUCGAGGAGGAAAACUCACGCAUGCAUAUAUAUCACCAACCAUCCAGUAAUGUACAAAAGAGUUGACCUGCAUGUACAAAAUCGAGCCAGAACUGCCUGAAAGAAAAAUAAAACUAAAUAUACUCUUCAAUUCCAAAACUAGGAAUCAUUGAAACAAAUAAAGAAGGAAGAGAAACCCAAAAACCUCUUAUAUAGUGUAGGCAGUGGAGAUAAAGUUGAAACUAAAUGGGUAAUUUUUUAAACAAAAAGCAAUAAACCAGAAGCGAAGGCCCCAAAGCAGGAAGAUCCGGAAAAAAUGCAGAGGAUGAGAAAGAAAGUGUUAGUUUUUUAUGGCCAGGUUAAUUAUCCUUCAAAUUUUAAUGUAGUCAAAAUAAUUGAUUUUAUAUUAAUAUUUUUAGAUGAUCAUUAUUUUAGCUGUAACAGUUGAUUCGUACAGUUGAUUCGUACAACAUGGAAUUGAUGUGCCUCGACAGGAGCAGUGGGGUACUUUUUGUUGGUUGUUUCAGGUCUCGAAGGCGAUAUGGGUCCAAUUAGUUUAUAUAAAAUAAAAAAGAAAAUAAUUCUUGUUCCCUUUUUAAUGCUGGAUAAUAUCGAGAACAGAUAUUUAUUGGUAAUUGAGCUUAGACCUACACAAUUAGAUAUCAAAAUAACCGAAAAUGAGUACUAAACUAAGUAUUAGAUGGUUAACAAUCAAACUUUUUAUCACUCAUUAUUAAUGUUUUUAAGUAAGAAACAGAAAUGCUUGAAACAAGAGAGCGGUAGGGCACACGUAAGGGUGUACCAAUAAAAUCGACAAAUCGCACUAACCCUAUAAUUCGAGUCAAACCGAAAAAAAAUGACUAUGAUUUGGUUUGGUGUUGGAAAAAAAACCCGAUCAUAUUUGGUUUGGUUUGGUUUGGUUUGGUUUUAACUAAAAAAAGUCAAAUCGAAACCAAACUAUGCCGACAUUAUAUGUAUAAAAGUUUUAAAUAUAUUUAAUACAUAAAAAUAUUUACUGUAGUGUAGUUUAUAAAUAUUUCUUAAGCUUUUUUCAUAGUUUUAUCUUUUAAUUUAUUAUUUCAAGUUUGGGCUUAUAAUUUUUGGAUGCUCCAACAUGUUUUAUACUCCAUAAAUGUUAGUAACUCAAAUAAAUCCUAAACCAAAAUCAAAUCAAUACUAAUGCUAAUAAAAUAUUCAACUCAAUUGUACUAUGAAUGAAAAUAGUAUUGGAUAUCUAUUUUUUAGUUUUUCCAUGGUUUAGAUAAAAUGUACUAUAACUUAUUUUUCUUGUAGUGGUUAGUCAUGUAAAUAAUAGUACUUAUUAGUCGUAAUUUAAAAUUAUGUUUGUUUUCAUUAUGANNNNNNNNNNNNNNNNNNNNNNNNNNNNNNNNNNNNNNNNNNNNNNNNNNNNNNNNNNNNNNNNNNNNNNNNNNNNNNNNNNNNNNNNNNNNNNNNNNNNNNNNNNNNNNNNNNNNNNNNNNNNNNNNNNNNNNNNNNNNNNNNNNNNNNNNNNNNNNNNNNNNNNNNNNNNNNNNNNNNNNNNNNNNNNNNNNNNNNNNNNNNNNNNNNNNNNNNNNNNNNNNNNNNNNNNNNNNNNNNNNNNNNNNNNNNNNNNNNNNGUACAAUGUCAUGACUCAUCUCAUAUUUAUGUUAUUUUAUUGAAAAACAACUUAUAUAGUUAUGUCUUACUAGGAUAAAAGAAAUAUUUGGAGUACAAAUUUUACGUUUUGUGAUAUGAAGACUUUAUGAAAAAAAAAACCGAAAAAACCCAAAAACCCAAACAACCCGAGAUUAAAAAACCUGACUUUUACUGGUUUGGUUUGGUAUUUAGAUUUGAUAACCCGAUACAAUUGGUUUGGUUUGGUAAUUAAAAAAUCCGAACCAACCGGGCCUAUGUCAGGCACAUGUAGGGCACUAAAUACAGCAAGAGUUCAGGAUUUAGCCUCCUAAAUAUAGACUUACAAAUGCAUGAUAAUAUCAUAACAAAACCUUUGUAAUAUCUCGAGUAAGAGUUGAUUUUUCACGAUUCUUUUACAUGAUCCACAGUUCAGAUGGUUCCAGCAUUUAUGAGUUCAAGUGGUUAUGGCUCUUGCUCAAUCCGUAUAGCUAUGAAGUAAAUCAAUUUAUUAUAACACAUUUUGCUGUCAAUACAUUAUUGAUACAAGUUAAACUGUUAAAAAGUACUUCCUUUCUGAAAUAGUGUAGAGAAACCCAUCUUUGUUUUGCUUUGCUAGCUUGAGUGUUGAAUAUCUUUUAAUGCCUUUUUCUGAUAGAUCAUGACAUUGUGAUAGGCACCAUUUAUACAGGAAUGAUCUUUUGUGCACUUACUGGUCAGGGUCAUGCUUAACAGUUCAAUGAGAUCAUUUCAGGUUAUUUCUAUGUUGGAAAGGAUUAAAGUGAAAGGAAGUCACUCUUGAUUGAAUGUGUAUUAUGAAUCAUCACAUCAAUGACCGAGCCACUUUCUCUUAUAGAUAUUGUUUAUGCGACGUAGUAUCUAAACAACAGACUUGGAAUAGGAUAAAAAUACAUUUCACUAUGGUAAAUAUUUUAGUUACUGAAAUUUUAUGGUCUUUAGGGUACUUGAAUUAUGCCUUUGUAUUCUCACUGAGUAAUAUUGGUCAGCAUUGAGUUGUAGAAACUAAGUAGUAUUCCGACUACCUUUCCAAUGACUGGCGCUCAUAAGCUAAACUUAUGAAUUUUAUUUACAAGCUUAAUAUUUUGUACAUAGCAUUUUGAUAUCAAUUCAUUUGCCGGUGAAGGAAACAUUGAAUAUGUAUUAAUAAUUUGGUAAAUUCGAAUUAGUGAAGCAUACUGUUAAGCAUCGCCGGUAUAAAUUGGAACAGUAUCUCUUCUUGCAUUUCUUGUAUUUGGCAUUAAUUAAUGUUCUUUUUAUGAUGCAUAUUGUCUUUUCAUAUAGUUUAUUUUUAUUUUCCUUUCUUUCCUUGAUGUAGUUGUUUAAAUUGGUACCUUACAUUAUAUGGCUAUUGGCAUUUGAUCAUUUCUUCAUAAUUCUACCGCUGUCAAUAUUUUUGUCACAGAAGACUAUUCACGUGAUGGAAAAUGCCACCCUUGUUGUCGAUAUGUAAACAGUAUAAUGUAACUCUCAUGGAAGCAGGUUGAAGAACAUGUUGUGUUGUAGAUACAUAUCUCAUAUGUUUUGCAGUUCUGUUUUUCAAAAUAAUGUACAUAUCAUGUAGCGUUAAUACACUGCUAACUUUUAGCUAACUUGAUAGUCUUACUACUUCCUUUCCCGGUAAUGCUGCUAGACAAUUAAAUCAAGUAUGAAAUUAUGUUCUCCAUGUUAAAACUUUUAGCUAAUCUUAUAGUUGUGUAAAUAACACAAACAAAGAUGUCACGACGUGUCAAGCAUACGGGCCAUCUAGUUAAAAGAAAAAGAGAAACUUCUUUGCUUUAUUGCUUAGUCUCAGCAUUCAUCAAACUCUAAUACACUUUGUUUUGAUACAUCAAGCUCUCAUACAUUUUCACUCUUCCAGUAUGAACACAAGGUAAAUGUAACAUAUCCUCAAGAUUUAAAAGAAAAAAUAUUAGUACAGCGAUUCAUAAUUUAAGUAAAAGAAGAAAUUUUGUCAACAUAGCAACUUAAGCAUUCUACAUAUUUAGUAACUUAAUGAGCUUUGAGAUCCAAGCCUCCUCUUUCUGAGGCGUUCAGCGAUAAUAAAGGCGAGUUCAAGGGAUUGAGAUGCAUUGAGUCUAGGAUCGCAGUGGGUGUGAUAGCGUGAGCUCAGAUCAUCGAAAGUCACGGUCCUUGAUCCACCAAUGCACUCUGUUACAUUUUGGCCGGUCAUCUCUAGGUGAACUCCUCCUGGAUGGCUUCCUUCUUGCUCAUGCACGUCAAAGAAUGCUCUCACUUCAGCCUGUUCCCAAGAAGAGUGCAAUGUAAGACGUGUGCUUUAUUGUCAAUGUUGUAAUGUGAGGGUUAAAACUUCAUCCAAAAGCUCUAACAAAAGAAUACAAUAUUCUUAACUGUUAAGACAUGUAAGUUGAUGUAAACUUUCAAUCAUUUUUAAGACAAUUAUACUGUUACAAUAUCGAGCGUCAUUGAAAAAAAAGGAAAUCUACCUAAAAGACUGGAUCUCAAAAAUAAUCCUUGUGGAAAGAGACAGACAACCACCAACCUAGCUGAGAUAUAUUUAAAUCCACCAUAUGACAGCUUAAGAAACAUACUUUUGACUGAACACACCCUUCCAAAUUCAGUUUUACAUUCUCUUACCUACCCAUAUAUCUCUCAUACAUUCUUUGCCCUAGUCUAGCAAAGAAAAAGCAGCUACUCUUUCUAUGAACAACUAAUAUUCCCAUCAUGAAAGAUGGUCCCCCCGCGAAUUAACACAAUCAUUCAGCUUGUCAAAUUAUAUGGUCCAAAGAAACGGACUUUUUCAGCUGCUCGGUCUAUAACUGCUGGUACCUUUCCUAUUGGCUGUAGAAGUGAAUUCUAAGUGUGGUCCUUCCUUAAAUAUGAAUAGGCACCACCAUAAAGGAGAUGAUUAAGAUCAAAGUAUAGGAAGUAUGCAAUUACUUGAAGGCAGCAAAUUUUGUGAAUUCAAAUUGUCUUUCCAGUAUAACCUCGGGUCUCACCAUCCUAAAGGGUAUGUAUGAUAUAACGAGUCAGGAAAUUCUGAAGGAGGUAUGAGAACUUACCCUGAUGGCAUCAAAAGGUCGAGUUUUCAGACCACAAGGUGCUUUAAUGGUAUUUCCAUGCAUAGGAUCAGAUACCCAUGUAACAAUUUGCCCAGCUCUUCUCACUGCCCUUAUUAGAUGAGGAAGCUUAACCCUCAUGUUCUCUGCUCCCAUUCUGGUAAUUAUUGUAAUCCUUCCUGGUUUGUUGUUAGGGUUCAGAAUGUCAAUGAGCUUAACUAACUCAUUUGGAUCCAUCUUGUCACUCACCUGCAGCAUAUAUUUUCUGUUAGCCUCAAAUUUUGUUACCAAUUCAAUAUGAUCUGCACAUUUGCCAUAUUCAUAAAUGCAAUCACGAAAAGACUCAAAGUAAAGCAAUGCACUCACCUUUAUACCAAGGGGGUUGGCAAUUCCUCUCAAGAACUCAACAUGGGCACCAUCCAAUUGUCUGGUUCUCUCCCCAGCCCAAAGAAAAUGGGCAGAGCAAUCAUAGUAAAGGCCAGAAGUUGAAUCCAAUCUUGUAAGUGACUGCUCAUACGGCAAAAGUAAGCACUCGUGAGACGUCCAAAACUCGGUGGUUUUCAUGAUAGGAUGGUCCGUUGUAAGUCCAGCAGCAGCCAUGAAACCAAGGGCCUCAUCCACUCUAUGAGCUAAUUCACGAUACCUGCCAAUUUAAAAAAGAAAAGAAACAUUAUUAGCCCAUAAUUGCAACAUUAUAUAAAAGCCGACGGAAAAUCCCUCUCGUAAUAAAUUUUUGGAACAGUCUAGAUAGUAUCCCUAUAGAGGUCCGGAAGUGUCUUGGGGAGGUUGGAGUUGGAGUAGUAUGGCUCACCAAGCUAUUUAAUGCCAUACUAAGAAGUGGUAGGAUGACCGAAGAGCGGAGGAAUAGUACCUUGAUUUCAAUUUAUAAGAACAAAGGAGAUUUUAAAGUUGUGCGAACUAUCGUGGCAUUUAACUCAUGAGUCAUACAAUAAAACUCUGGGAAAGAGUGAUAAAGCAUAGACUUAGGAACACGACAAGAUAGACUGAGAAUCAGUUUGGAUUUAUGCCCGGUAGAUCUACAACGCAACGCAGGCUAUAUUCUUGCUAAGAAGAUUGAUGAAAAUUUAAAGCCAAACGAAGAAAAAUCAACACAUAAUGUUCAUUGACCUAGAGAAAGCAUAGACCACGGACGACCCUAAAGAUAGGACACAAUAGAAGCAGAUAGGGCACAAUAGAAGCGGAAAAUUCAUAUAAGUGAUAUCUACUAGUUGAGAAUAGAUUUUAGACUUGGUAGAGAAGUUAUAUUACAAUUAUUAUUAUUACUAUUAUUUAUAUAUGUAUUUAUCUUUUUUUACUUGCACUUUCAUUUUACUUUGAUAAUGAUGAAGAUAUGAGUUGAGCUAAAAUUGAGGAUUCAAACAACAAAUAGCAACAAAAAUUUCCAACAAUAUUCACCAAGAUGGAACAUACCGAUCACCCUGCUCACUGUGCUCUGUAAAAUCUAAGUUCCAUUGGUUGAUUCUCUGCAUGGCAGCAUAUCCUCCUUUAGCAAAGGCCCUCAAGAGAUUCAAAGUAGCUGCAGAUUGACAAUAGGCCCUGAUCAUCCUUUGAGGGUCCGGAAUUCUGGAUUUCUCAUCAAAUGCAUCUCCAUUCACAUUAUCUCCCCUGUAACUUGGCAGCUUUACUCCAUCUUUCUCUUCAAAUGGGUCUGAUCUAGGCUUUGCAAAUUGCCCAGCCAUUCUUCCAACCUAUUUAGAUCAAAUUUGAAAAUGGAUAUCAAUACAGUUGACAUAUGCCAAAAGAAGGAAUUUAUCUACUCAUUAAGUUUUCCAUCAGAUAAGAGAAUACUCAUGAGUCAUGACUAAAAAAAUAAAUACCCAUUUCCAGGAACGAAUUCAAGAUAAAAUAAGUACUGCAACAAACAGCAGGCUAUUAAAUACCCUAAUAAUUGAAUAAGAUUCAAUAUCCAUUUCUUGAUAGGCAACUUAAAUAAAAUUUAAAAAAAAAAAAGCAUUCCAAAAUUAAGGUAACAAAUUCAAUUUAGCAGCGAAAAAGGUCAAAAUCAAAAUAUUUGUCUUAAUUCAGACAUCUAUUCAUUACUUUUCUAAAAUAAAAUUUACGUAAAAAUUACAAAAAAGGACUAUAACAGUUAAAAAGAUUACAAAAAAGGACUGUGAUUAAGAAAUACAUAUGAAACAUGGUAGUUUAAAAAAACACUGUUUGAGUUGGAAACAUUAACAGCGUAACAUAAAAUGGGACCACCAAGUAGAAAACAACAAACAAGCAACAAAUUAUUGAAAGCUACCCCUACACUAAGAUAUUAGUUAGGUCCAACUUGUAGUUCUUUAAAGGCAAUGUAAAUACAAAAAGAAAACAUUCAAAAAUUAAGUAAGAAACAAAAAUAUGACCUUUACAACGGGCAUCUGACCACCGAACAUAAGAACAGCACCCAUUUGAAGGAGGAUUCUGAAAGUGUCCCUUAUGUUAACAGCAUUGAAUUCCUUGAAACUCUCGGCACAGUCACCACCUUGUAGCAGAAACGCCUUCCCAAUUGCAGCCUCUCCAAGGCGCUCUUCAAGACUCCUCGCCUCACCAGCAAACACAAUAGGAGGGAAAUCUUCAAUGGUCUUUAGAACUGAUUCAAGAUCAUCUUUAUUUGGGUACUCUGGAAGCUGAAGUGCUCUCUUCGAUCUCCAGCUGUCAACUGACCAUUUUUUACAAACUUGGUCUGUUUUCGUCACCGCGACAGCAGCAGUGGAGGAGGUGGCUGCCGGCGGCGAAGGUUUAGGGGUCUUGUCGGAGGUAAUGGGGUUCUUGGAGGAGUCGGGAGAAUAGACGGCUGAGAUCGGUUGAGGAAAUUUAACGGGUUUGGUUGAGUUGGUGGGAAGGGCAUGUUUGGGAGAAGGUAAAAGAGGUUGAGUUUGAAUUAAGGAUUUAUUUGGUAGGAGGGAGUUGGUGCUGCUAGUU